rnacentral:rRNA from 1 species
AUUGAACGCUGGCGGCAGGCUUAACACAUGCAAGUCGAGCGGUAACAGAGAGAAGCUUGCUUCUCUGCUGACGAGCGGCGGACGGGUGAGUAAUGCCUAGGAGUCUGCCUAGUAGUGGGGGAUAACUUGCCGAAAGGUAAGCUAAUACCACAUACGUCCUACGGGAGAAAGGAGGGGACCUUCGGGCCUUUCGCUAUUAGGUGAGCCUAGGUCGGAUUAGUUAGUUGGUGAGGUAAUGGCUCACCAAGACCGCGAUCCGUAACUGGUCUGAGAGGAUGAUCAGUCACACUGGAACUGAGACACGGUCCAGACUCCUACGGGAGGCAGCAGUGGGGAAUAUUGGACAAUGGGGGGAACCCUGAUCCAGCCAUGCCGCGUGUGUGAAGAAGGUCUUAGGAUUGUAAAGCACUUUAAGUUGGGAGGAAGAGCAGUUAACUAAUAUUUGACUGUUUUGACGUUACCGACAGAAUAAGCACCGGCUAACUUCGUGCCAGCCGCCGCAGUAA